rnacentral:rRNA from 1 species
GGGUCAGUAGGUUGGUCGUGCCACCGGUACGUACUGGUCUCACUGAUUCCUCCUUCCUGAAGAACCGUAAUGCCAUUAGUUCGGUGUUGCGGGGAAACAGGACUGUUACUUUGAAAAAAUUAGAGUGUUUAAAGCAAGCUAACGCUUGAAUACAUUAGCAUGGAAUAAUGAAACAGGACGAUCGAUCCUAUUUUGUUGGUUUCUAGGAUUGACGUA